rnacentral:rRNA from 1 species
UGGGGAAUUGUUCGCAAUGGGCGCAAGCCUGACGACGCAACGCCGCGUGGAGGAUGAAGACCUUCGGGUCGUAAACUCCUUUCGAUCGAGACGAAUGGCCUCCGGGUGAACAAUCCGGAGGAGUGACGGUACCGAGAGAAGAAGCCCCGGCUAACUCUGUGCCAGCAGCCGCGGUAAUACGGAGGGUGCAAGCGUUGUUCGGAAUUACUGGGCGUAAAGCGCGUGUAGGUGGUCGAGUAAGUCGAAUGUGAAAGCCCCGGGCUCAACCCGGGAAGUGCAUCCGAAACUGCUCGACUAGAGUCCCGGAGAGGAAGGCAGAAUUCCCAAUGUAGGGGUGAAAUCCGUAGAUAUUGGGAGGAAUACCGGUGGCGAAGGCGGCCUUCUGGACGGUGACUGACACUCAGACGCGAAAGCGUGGGGAGCAAACAGGAUUAGAUACCCUAGUAGUCCCUGAGCGGGC